UCUGUGCUCCCGCUGCAGGGUUGUACGCCUAUACCCUGUGUUCUAGCUACUGUUAGGCUGGCAUGGCCUCCCAGCCAACACAUAAGCGCCUCUCCCACUUUAUUUUUUUCUUUAGAGAGGCAGAGAGAGUUAAGAGUAAAAGACAAAAGCUUCCUUCAAUGUAGUGGAGGCCAGGCUUGAACUUGGGUCAUGCACCUAGCAAAGCUAUGAAGGGUCAAUGAAAACAUCCUUAUCAAAUCCCAGUACACAGUAGCAAUGGAGAGCAGUUGGUUCCCUACCACUUAACCUGUUUUACCCCUUCAAUAGGAGCUCAGCUUCCAGCAGAGGAGUCUGAAACUCAAUAACUAGUAUGAUUUUUACAUUCUCCUAACACUGGGCAAGGCCCUUCUGGUCAAGCAGCUGAAGGUACUGACUGCAUGAUGUGAAGUCUGGUACAGUGCACAGAAGCUGGAGCACCCUGGGAUGAAUUACACUGUUAUCCUGCUCUAAAACCCACCUCUACUCUGAGCUUCUGUCAUCUUGUCAUCUUCCUAAGUUCCUCAUUGUGCCUUAAUAGGGCCUCUUCUUGUCAUCAAGCUCAAGAGAUUCUGGCUGCUGCAGCUGAACCCUUCACCUGAAUGAAGCCAGGCAAGGUCUUCAUUCCUGGGACUUACUGAGCUGCCUAGAUGUGCUUUCCUCACCAGGAAGGGGUUGUGUGCUCAGAGGGAGAACAGACACAAGAACACAAUCUGACCUCCUUGACCUGAUGGCAGGAUCAGACUGUAAGCUCAGUUUUUGUAGGUGUGAUCUGUAGGAGGUGAUUUGACCAUGAGGGCAGAAGUCUUAUGAAUGGGGCUCAUGGCCUUAUUAAAGUGUUCCCAGAAAGUUCCAUCACCCUUCUGACUUGUGAAGACAGUGAGAAGAUGAACCAGACUGCAAAGUGGCUGCUACCUUAAUCUUGAACUUCCUAGUCCCCUGAACUGUAAGAAAUAAAUAUCUGCAUUUUGAA